rnacentral:rRNA from 1 species
GACAGGGGACCCGAGCGUUAGUCGGAAUUACUGGGCAUAAAGGGUGCGUAGGCGGCUUGUUAAGUCAGGGGUGAAAGUUUUCGGCCCAACCGGAAAAUUGCCUUUGAUACUGGCGAGCUCGAGUGCGUGAGGGGUAACCGGAACGAGCAGUGUAGCGGUGAAAUGCGUAGAUAUUGCUCGGAAGGCCAACGGCGAAGGCAGGUUACUGGUACGCAACUGACGCUGAGGCACGAAAGCGUGGGGAGCAAACAGG